rnacentral:lncRNA from 1 species
CCACCAGGGGGAGCCAAACCACACAGGCCGGAGGGAGACAGGGAAACGGCUGGGCGUGCCCUCCAUCCAACAGCCUCAUGGAGCCAGGAGAGACGUCAGACACUUCUACGCGCCCAUCAGACUAGAGAGACUGGGCGCCGUUAGAAAACUCGCACUUUUUAAGGAACUUUCCAGAAGCAGGCAGGAGUCAAAAGGAAAGUGUUGGCUUGCGUUGCAGGGAGGAGACGUCUGUUGGAUUGAUCAGAAUUAAGUGAGUAACUCUUGGCCACUCUACAUCCCGGCGAAACGGACGGCUGAAACAUCACUGCUCACUGUGCCUGAGAGUGUGUUCCUUCCUCACUGGGGGGCACUCGUCUGCUUUAACCUUGGCCACUACCUGGAAUGCAUUUCUAACAAGCUCUCGGGCGAUGCCGACGCUGCUGGUCCAUGGGUUACCCUCUGAGAACUAAGGGUGAAGGAAAACAUGCAUGGAUUUUGGAGUCAAAGGACCUGGGUUCAAAUCCUGCAAUGAUCCCUCACCAGUGAUGUGACAUUAGACUGCACCUUCCGAUCACGCCCUCCACCUGACAGAGCAGGGACUCUAGGACCGCCGGGUCACCGCCUUUCAACUUUCUGAGGGAGUCGAGGGAAUCAAGGCUGCACGCAAUUUCCCUGAAAGGAAAAACACGGCCCACUACCUUCUCCUGUAAACGGAAGCAGAAAGGCCUCGGGAUUCCGGCCACAGAUAGCGCAGAGACAGUGAAGGUUCAGAGACAGAGAGGGCUCAGGCUGCCCAAGCGACACACGAGAAGCCAGAUUCGGAAACGCGUGUUCAAGAGGUGGAGGCGGAACCCAGACUCAAAGAGGCCAAGCCCCAGAACCUACGGCCGCCUUGGCCAAGGCGUGACGGCUUUCUAAGCCCGCUUCUAAAGGCUGUGUAGACUGGAGAGUCCUGGAAUCGGUACAGGUUUG